AGUCUAAAAGGAGGAGGCGAAUCGAACGCAAAAAUUAUGGGCCCAGUUUUUGAGAUCUAAAUGAAGUUCGAAAAUCGCCGUUAGGGGCGCUUGUGAUGAUUGGGAUACUAGAAAUACACAGCUUCUUAUGGCAAGAAUAACUAUUUUGUUAUAAAUUAUAGAGCCAAGUUAAUAUUUGGGCAUAUUUUUACCAGAGUUAGCUUUUAGAAACGUGGUUUUUCUAAUUGAGCAAUGUGCGUGGCUAAAAUUGUGAAUACAAAACCUUAAAUUUGAGUUUGAAAAUGCAUACACGACCGAAGAAACAUAUAAGCUGCUAAAAUAAAUCUUCCCUAGAACUGUUGUACAAAAAAGAUAGAAGUUCCAGCAACAAAUUUAUCACCAGUUCAACCUUUGAUUUGAUGUAAACAGUAAUUGUUUCUUGAUGAGAAAUGCGAAUGAAAUAGUUUAUGGUGUGAUUGUGUUAGUGUUUUAUUAAUAGUUUUGUUGAUGCAGUUUAAAGGUUCAUAGUUUUUCAUUAAAACAUUUGAAAUUGACAUGUUUACAUGCAGUUUAGUGUGAUACCAUUUUAAUAAACAUUAAAAUCUUUCGAACUAGUAGUGGUUUUAUGGCGAUUGACAGAUUGAAUAACGAAAAUUAAGAGUAUUUUAUCAGGAAUAACUUAAUCAUAAAUGGAAACUGAAGACGAACGUUACCAUUGCACCCUUUGAUCGGUGUUAUCUAUUCCAUAACUUUUUAUAGCUGAAACUAGAGAGUAGGUAUAUUGAGCUGAAACGUUUCCUGUGUUCAAUAGCGUUUUUUCUAGCGUUGAAUUGUAAGUUUUAAUGUCAUUAGCAAAGUUUUGCAAAUUGUCACUGUUUCGUAGACAAUUAAAUUCAAGAUAUAUUAUAUUCAAUGUCACCUAAUAAUUGUAAAGGUUUUUCUAUUGAUAUUCACUUUAUUAAUAUAAGGUAGGUUUGUAAAUAAAAUAUUAAUGAAUAAAUAAUGUACUCAGUUUAUUUCAAAAGCACAAAAAUACAGAGUUGUGAAUAUGUAUAUACGCUGACUUAUUUCAUCAUAUAAAUAUUUAUUUAGCAAUAUUAAUACAUUACAACUUUUGUUUCUAUUAACUAAUUCCACUAAAUUUAAUAAAUAAAAUAUACAAUAUAUAAAUUUAAUAUACAAUUUAGCACUUAGAUAUUAAAUAUCUAUAUGUACUAUGCCAAAAAAUAAAACAGGAACAUCAUAUUAUAUCAAGAACACAAAAAAUUACAAUUUAAAAAAAAUGCAUUCUAAAAAAAUACCUAGCUACAAUAUACCUACAUAUUAAUUUAAAGAGCUUAUUCAUAUUCAUAAAAACUAUUCUAAAUGGUUUAUAUACACAAUCAAAAGUAUCAACCACAAUACAAUAAUUUUCAAAUUAUUUCUUAUUAUUCCUCAA